UACGGGGGGGGUAAGCGUUGUUCGGAAUUACUGGGCGUAAAGCGUGCGCAGGCGGUUUUGUAAGCCAGAUGUGAAAUCCCCGGGCUCAACCUGGGAAUGGCAUUUGGGACUGCAAGGCUUGAGUGCGGCAGAGGAGACUGGAAUUCCUGGUGUAGCAGUGAAAUGCGUAGAUAUCAGGAGGAAUACCGAUGGCGAAGGCAGGUCUCUGGGCUGACACUGACGCUCAUGCACGAAAGCGUGGGGAGCAAACAGG
rnacentral:rRNA from 1 species